GCGGUAAUACGUAGGGGGCGAGCGUUGUCCGGAAUUACUGGGCGUAAAGGGCGUGUAGGCGGUUACCUAAGUCAGGUGUGAAAUCCUAAGGCUCAACCUUAGGGCUGCGCCUGAAACUGGGUAACUUGAGGGCAGGAGAGGAGAGCGGAAUUCCCGGUGUAGCGGUGAAAUGCGUAGAUAUCGGGAAGAACACCAGUGGCGAAGGCGGCUCUCUGGACUGUACCUGACGCUGAGGCGCGAAAGCGUGGGGAGCGAACAGGAUUAGAUACCCUGGUAGUCCACGCUGUAAACGAUGGGUGCUAGGUGUGGGGGUAUCGAAUCCUCCAGUGCCGGAGUAAACACAAUAAGCAUCCCGCCUGUGAUACGCCACCUG
rnacentral:rRNA from 1 species